rnacentral:lncRNA from 1 species
AUCAAACAUACAUCAAAUAUGACGAUGAAUGAAGCAAUACAAAGCCUGUGCCCAACGCUCAGUCUAGGAAAGUGGGUGAUCACCCCGGCGUCCACCCUCCCUCCACUUCGCAGGCUGCCGUCUCUGGACCUCGUGUGCCUUCCCCGUGGCUCUGCGCCACGCCUUCCCAUCCCCAGCCACACCCGGCUCACCUUUGAGCUCGACGCCAUGGCCACUGUCUCCCGCACACGGGCCUUAGGGCCCCACUCCUCCUCCUGACAUUGAGUUCCUGAGAUUCCACCUGAGUGGCUGUGAGCACUGUGGUCAUUCUCGCUGCCAGGCUGUGUCUGUUCUAUGAAAUCACAGUUCCACUCUGCUGGUGGGGGCAGCAGUGGCUUCCGGACUCUCCUUCUUUCUUUCUUCUUUAUUUUUGAGACAGAGUCCUACUCUGUUGCCCAGGCCGGAGUGCAGUGGCACAAUCUCGGCUCACUGCAACCGCCACCUCCCGGGUUCAAGCAAUUCUCCUGCCUCACCCUCCCGAGUAGCUGAGAUUACAGGUGGGUGCCACCAUGCCCGGCUAAUUUUUGUAUUUUCAGUAGAGACGGGGUUUCACCAUGUUGGCCAGGCUGGUCUCGUGUGAUGCGCCCGCCUCGGCCUGGGGUUCCUGUUCUUGCUCAGGGCCGCUGCUGCUGGCUGCCUCCUGGUUUCCAGCUGUGCCCGAAUCAGCUCGCCCCACUUCAAUGGUGGCAAGGUGCCCUUCCUGGGGGCGGGCAGCCCAGGACCCACAGCCGGGACCCUGUAGGCUCCAGCAGCUCUGUGUGAGCAGCCCUGGCCCCUGGCCCUGUGCUGGAGGCAGCGUCCUCCCCACUCCGAUGUCACAGAGGAAACAAAUGCAAACCGUUCAGCAGUGGCCCCCGAAUAACUCAGCCUGAGUGGAACCCGAGGGUUCUUUGCAGGACUUAAGUGGCGCCGUUUCUGUCAGACAGAAAAUAAACUAAGUUUAUGGUAUUUGGAAAGCAUCAGAGUUCAGCAAGAUCACGGCACCCAGGACCACUUGAGAGCUGCAGUGAUUGAGGGCUGGGCAGAGGCGACGCAGCUGGGGACAGGCCAGGAAUGUCGGCCCCAUCCAGGGAGCACAGGGCGCCCCUCCCAGGGCCUUGGAGGAAAUUCAACCCUGUCAAGCUUGGAGGCCUUCGGCGCAUUUAGCCGUUGAAGGAAGUACCCACCGUGGUGUGCUCCAACCAGCAUUUUCACAUUCACAGUGAGGCCAGCUCGCUCCUGCUCCCACCAGCCCAUCGCAGGUCAGAGAAAAGCCAGACGCCCUGCUCCACAUCUCUCUCAUACUUCUCCGCUCUUCACAACAGGCAGCCUGGCCAGCCCCUUCUCACCUCCCUGGGCACUGCGGCUGCACCCCCAGGCCUGGCAAGGUCACGGUGACCUCCACACCAGCCCAUGCAAUUCCAGGCUUCCCAUUGCCCCUGAGAAGGUCAAAGCCCCGGGUUGCUCAGCCAGGCCGCUCCCUCCACCAUCCCCUCUUGGUUCCCUUUGGCUCACUCACCUGCGCCCGGCCCCUGGCUCUGUGGCCUGCGCUCCAGGCCUGCUCCUGCCCCAGGGCCUUUGCGCUCCCCACCCCCACCUGGAUGGCCACACACGCCCUCACCCUUCAAGAGGCUCACCCCGUGCUCAACGUAAAAUCCCACCAGAGCCCCGGCCUCCAGCCUGCUGCUCUGCCUCUCCCACCCCCACCCCCGGCUUGCUCUUUGCACCCCUGCCCUGCUCUCCUGCUGGCUGGGGCUCCUGGGGCAGGGGUUCUGGGUGUGGGUUUGCUGUUUCACCGCCUCAUCUCGGGACCCAGAACUGUAGACGCACACAGGGCUCCAUGUGUGGCCUUUAUGGAGCUUGAAUUCAUUGCACUCAGCAGAGGGGAAGGCAGGUGAUGAGCGGGCGUCGUCCAAAGCCUCAGAGCUGUGGGUGAGUCUCCAAAUGGUUUUGUUUGAACGUAACAUUAAAAGUCUAAGUUGUGGCUUGGGCUGAAUUAGAAGCUACAGCACCACACACACAUGCACACAUAAGCAGACACCACACACACGCACACAUGAACAUAUGCCACACACAAGAACAUACCCCACACACACGCACACAUGCACAGACACUACACAUCUAUGAACAUACCACGUGCACACAGGAUACACCACACACACGCACACACGUGCACACUCCCCCCGUGGGCUCCUGGCAGCAGGGGCUGUUCCCAUCACUCUGGUGCUUGCCCCUGCUGGGGAACCGUCCAGUUGUCACCAACUCACUUCUAAGCCAUGUAUCAGGGCUUCCCAGCCUCAGCUCCAGACUGCACGCUCAGCUUCUCCAUGUCCAGCCCGGCAUGCAGGGCAUGACGUGUGACAGGGCUCAGCCCCUCCAUGUCCCUUCUUUCCCCCGUGUCUAGGCUGUCCUUGCCAGGCAGUGGACUUUCGCUCUUGCCCUGCUCAGCCGCUUCCCUCCUCCUUCCCAUAAAACAUGGGGCUCAGCCCGGCAGGAACUCCCUAAGUAGCUGGGUGGAGUUCCAGCCCUGGAUGAAGGGGAGGGCACAGGACCAGGCUGAGCCAAUCAGCAUGGCAAUAGGCUCAGGGAGAGACACACGGCCCAAUCAGAGCCAGGAGAGGUUGGCUGGGCUCCGGGAGACAGGACGUGAGGCUGGAGUGGCUGCAGCCUCUUGCAGACAGUGGAGGCUCAGGCUAAGCCAGCAAGACCAAGAGGAGCACGGAGAGCUGGCAAGACGCUGGCCCGAUGAUAUCGCCUGAGCCGUGAAUCCUCCUGGCCAACGCCAGGGCUUCCUCAGGCUUUGUCAUUGCAGGGACACUUCCCUCCCUCCCUCCUUCUCUGUCUCUCUCCCCACUGCCUCUCUUUCUAGCUUAAGCCAAUUUGAGAUGGAUUUUCUGUCACUUGCUGUUGAAGGAGUCCUGGUCCAGCCCAGGUGGAUUUCGUGCAAAUGAAACCCACAUAAUGCAAGUCUGUGUGGAAGUGAUCGUCUGCGAUCGGCGCGUGCCCUUCGCCUUAUGAACAGGAGCCAUGGGUGACACGAGCGCCUCGGCUGGGCCGCCGGGGUCCGUCUGAGGUCCAUCUGUCUCCAGGGCACAGACCCCAGGCCUGGACAGAGCCGGGCACGUGUGAAACGGGAAGAUGUCAGCUGGGGAACCGGCCGCAGCUCCCAACCUUGAUGAGGAAAGAAACCUGGUAGCUGUUCCUGCAGAAAAGCCACAUGGCUCGCCGCCUAUCUCCACGAUGGUACCUGGCUUCUCCCAUCCUCACCGUCCACGUCUACUCCCUUCCCAUCCCAGACCCGAGACGCAGAAGGCUUUAGACAGAGCAGCUUCAUCAGGAAUCUGGACUGGGCUGAGGUACCUGCUCCCAGCUCCUCAAAGUGCCAUCCGGUAAAUCUGCAUCUAUUAGAGCUGACAGCCAGGCUGCUCAGGCUUAAACAAUUAAUAUGCAUGAGGAGUCCGCAAACACAGAGCAGGGGCAUGUUACUGUGCUGGGAUGUAGGACGGCUUCUCGGAUAAGGUCAUUCAUUUUUAUGAUUCUGCUUAAUUUGGAUUUGCCAGUCUUCCUUUCAUUAUCCCAUGGGCCAGUCUUAAUAAUCAAGACUAUGUUAUGUGCUUUGUGGCAUAAUUAAAGCCACUGCCUAAUUAGACAAGCAUCUACCGUCUGACAAAGAGAAAUCAGUAAUGCAGCUAAUGGAGAAAGUGGUGAGGAGUUGGGUUUGAAAGUGGAUGGAAUCACCUGUUGGUGCCAGAACACACACACACAUGCACACAUGUCCACACAUGCACACACAUCUGUGGACACACACACACAUGUACAUACAUCUCACACACACAGAUACAUGCACACAUGUACACACGCAGAUACAUGCGCAUGUACAGGCAUGCACACAUACACACACACACACACUCUCCUACAUUCUAUGUGUGUUUCCGAUGACCAGCCCUGUCAAACCAAACCAAUCAGCAGUGCAGUUUCUGCCGGGAUAGUUGGCCUCUGAGGGGUUAAAGCCAUGCAGGGAAUCCAAGUCUGAGUUUCAAGUGGGCCGGGCUGAGCUUGCUUUUGUUUACUUCUUUAAUCAUCCAUGGACGCUUGCUGGGGCCUGCAAUGGCCAGGCACAUCCACCCACGUGGGACAAGAUGCAGCUUCCGUGGCUGCUUGCAGGGGAUGGAAGACUCCCACAGACGCCUGCUAACAUCACAUGCCCAAGUGUCACCGCGAUGCCACGUCCAGUCUGAGCCAUUCCUCGCCCAUGUCCCUGUCCUUGUUGCAUAGCCGGCCUCCAGCGUGUGGCUUCGUGCAGCGACCAGACCGUCGUGUGACUUUCUGCCACGGUUGCUGGGGUUGGCACUGGGGCAGACCUGCUGGGGGGUUCUGGGUUGCAGCUGGAGCGCUGGGACUGGCAGGACGCCUCUCUUCGUGCUGCCCCAGGGCCCAUCCACGUCGACUCCCGGCGUGAAGCGUGUGGGCUGCCUCACAGCCUGGCAGCUCCAGGACUGCUGGGGGCUCCCCCCGCGGCCCCGGCUCUGCUGGCAGCACUGGGCCAGAAGCAACUCACCUUCACACAGCCGCCCUGAAGGCACGUAGGUUCCGGAAGGGAACCUUGGGAAAUGGGAUUCGUGCCAUACUCAUGGGAGUCCCAAGCUCCCUCGCCCAUUUCACUCCAUGAGGAUAGGAGGGGACAGCUGCUGACGACCUGGCAGAGACCCUGCGCCAGGCCCCACCCCACCGGCACCCUGAUCUUGCACUUCCGGCCUCGAGAAUGCCCCCGCCCGGGAGGGUCUGAGCCAGGCAGCCUCCCCGGGAGCCGGUGCUGACACGGCCAGAGAAACCAUUCCAGACCCGGACCCCACUGUCCCCAACACCUGCGGGCCAGUGACUCAGGGCGGUGGAGAGAGCCAAGAGGAAGUGGAGGCUGAGUGGCCCUCCCCGGGGCUGGGGCCCGCCGUCUGGUUGUGUCUCCAGCCGCUGGUUUAGGGGAAUCGGGAGGGCUCACUUAAGCAUCCCUUCCCUGCGUGCUCUUCCAUCGCGGGACAGAAGACCCGACUGCUGCCAGCACCAAAGGGUGUUCCCACGGCACACGCCGCUUGGGCUCGGGCAGGCAGGGACCCCUCCUCGUGCCUCGGGAGCCUGGAGCUGUCGGCCCUGCAGCUGAGGACCACAGGAGGGAAGGCCUAACAAGGCUUGACCAAUCAGUGAAGGGCAUUCCCCAGACUGCUGGCUGUGACUGGGUCCCAGAUAAGCACGUGACCCACUAUGGGCCAAUGAAAGUCGCCUGAGACUUUUGCUUGCAUGGUUGCUGGGACGGUCCAAAGUCCUCAGUGGGGACGGCUGGCUGCAGCUGUCAGACUUGGAGCGUGAGGACAGAGCUGGGCCGGUUCCUCCCUGGGAUCUCCCCUCCCCGAGCACAGGCUCUGCUCUGCCCAGCCCCAUGCUGUCCCCUGUGCGACCGCUGUGGGCUUCCUGCCAGGCUCCUGCACCCUCCGGCUUCUGUUGGGUUCAGUUCUGGGAGGCAGCCCCGGAGUCUGGAGGGUGGAAGGAGUGAGGGGCAUCCCCUGUCCCCUCCCCACAGUCUUGGCAGUGGUUUCUUCUCUCCAGAGUUACUGUCCCUACCCCCUGUCCUCUCUCUGCAGCUCCAGCUCUUGCUGGGCGCCUGUGAUUCUCACCCCUGUCCCUUCAGGCCGUGGGGAGAAGAACAUCCCAGUGCGGUCACUUCCUGGAUCCAAUUCCUGGAUGCCCAGUGUCCGCCGGGUCUCCUGGAUUCACCGUGGUCACUGCCUGGAUGCCCAGUGUCCACUGGGUCUCCUGGAUCCAAUUCCUGGAUGCCCAGUGUCCGCCAGGUCUCCUGGAUUCACUGUGGUCCCUGCCUGGAUGCCCAGUGUCCUCCAGGUCUCCUGGAUUCACUUCCUGAAUGCCCAGUGUCUGCUAGGUCUCCUGGAUCCACUUCCUGGAUGCCCAGUGUCUGCCAAAUCUCCUGAAUUCACUUCCUGGAUGCCCAGUGUCCACCAGGUCUCCUGGAUUCUGCCUGUGUCCACGUGAGGGCACCAUCAAUUUCCUGCAAGGAUCCUGACAGUCAAGGUGAGGAGAUGCCUGAAGGACAGGAGACACUCACAGGAGGCCCUGGAGACAGAUGUGCCUCACAGGCAUUCCUGAGGACCUGUGGCCUGGCAGCACAGAGACUGGGUGAAAACAGAACCUUGUGAUCUGCAAGUUCUGCCGCUGCCCUGUCUGUGUCUGUGAAGCAAAGUGUCCAGAAGGGGCCCGCGUGGAAGCUUCUGAGAGCGGUUAGGGGAACGGGGCCCCACGUCCUCCCCGGAGGGCUGGAGACAGAGGCAGGCCGUGCCCCCAGCCCAGAGUAGGGAGGAGGCUGGCAGGCGGCAGCUGUGGAAAGGAGGCGGAGCCCCCAGACUCCUGAGCCAGCAGAGGAAGGAGUGGGACAGAGCCCACCCCAGAGGGAGACAAGACCCCGGGGAAGAGACCCCUCAGGGUGGCCCCCCAGCCCCUCCCAGGCUCAGCUUUCAGCCUGCACCCCCGUCUGGUCCCUCAGAAUGACUGAGGUUUCCACUCUUUUUCUGCCAAAUCUCUAGACUCCACGUCCCCGCUCUGCCACCUACUCUCUGUGGGAUCUGAAUAAAGAGACUUAACCUUUCCUGCCUCAGUUUCCCCAUAUGUAAAAUGGGACAAUAAGAGGCUCUGCCUCUAAGCCUUGCUGCAGGGAUUAAGGGAGCGAUGCGUGGUCUGCAGCCAGCCCCCUGCAGCCAGGCCCCUGCAGCCAGCCCCCUGCAGCCAGCCGCCUGCAGCCAGUGGUUCUUCAGUGGCCCCAGGGAAAGGCCAGGCACUGUGGAGACGCUUCCCAGCCACACUCGCUGAGCCGCGCCGGGAUAGGGUCUCUCCACCCAAGCUCCUUUUAGGAAAGUGGUUCCUGGGAAGAUGGAUAAGACCCAGCGUCCACCGGGGUCUGCGUUCUAAGUGGUACGCUUGUGAGGGCUGUUGCACGUGAACAAUUCCCUGUGAUACAUUCCGCAGGCACCGGGGAAGCUCCAGGCUGGGCGUGGAGCCUCAGAGACUGUGGGCAGGGCUCGUGAGGGGCAGGCGAGGGGCCAGGAGGCCUCCUUCGCAUUCGAGCUUCUCAGCCACGUGUGCAGGGGUGGGCUGGGUGUGGGAGUGUGUGUGUCACUGGUGUCAAAGCCUCCUCACUUUUUUUGGGAAAGAAAUGGGAUAUAAAUACAUGUGUAAAUAUCUAUAUAAAAUUCACAUUCUCUAAUUCAGGAGGCAGAGAGCUGUGUGCCUUCAAACCAGAGUAUCUAUAAACUGGGUUUCUAUCAGUGAGGGUAUAGAGCAAAUGCCGGCUCUGUCAAGGUUCAUCCCGAUGUCGUUCUCUGUGACGUAAAAACAAAGCUGGGACUGGCCACUUCUGCCAGACUUUAUCUUGGCAGACAGGUUUCCUACAGCAGCGGCCACCUACACCUGGGGGGAGGCAGCAGGAUGCUGAACCCUCAAAAGGAGAGCAAGAGCCCCCACUGUGCAGCAAGCCCAGGCCUGGGGGUCCCCGAUCCCACAGAGGAGGAAUCAGCUCCACUACAGCAAGCCCAGGCCUGGGGGUCCCACAUCCCACAGAGGAGGAAUCAGCUCCACUACAGCAAGGCCAGGCCUGGGGGUCCCCGAUCCCACAGAGGAGGAAUCAGCUCCACUACAGCAAGCCCAGGCCUGGGGUCCCACAUCCCACAGAGGAGGAAUCAGCUCCACUGCAGCAAGGCCAGGCCUGGGGGUCCCCGAUCCCACAGAGGAGGAAUCAGCUCCACUGCAGCAAGCCCAGGCCUGGGGGUCCCUGAUCCCACAGAGGAGGAAUCAGCUCCACUACAGCAAGGCCAGGCCUGGGGGUCCCCGAUCCCACAGAGGAGGAAUCAGCUCCACUACAGCAAGCCCAGGCCUGGGGGUCCCUGAUCCCACAGAAGAGGAAUCAGCUCCACUGCAGCAAGGCCAGGCCUGGGGUCCCACAUCCCACAGAGGGGGAAUCAGCUCCACUACAGCAAGGCCAGGCCUGGGGUCCCACAUCCCACAGAGGGGGAAUCCAAUGGGACCCCUGCAGCUCUAAGAACAGAAAACCCAAUUCAGAUGUGCUUAAAGAAAAAACUAAAAAUACGUGUGUGCGCGUGUGUGCGUGUGUGUGCGUGUGUGCGUGCAUGCGUGUGUGUGCGUGUGCAUGUGUGUGUGCACGCAUGUGGUAAUUUAUUGCAAAGUCAAGUGGGUCUGUUUUGGGAACAGCUGGAUCUAGGUGUUCAGACACUGGCCCCUUCUUGGGUUUCGUGAGGGACCCUGGAAGCUCCAAGCUCUCCCCUCUUGAUGAUAAGGUUGCUGCAGCUCCCCCAGCUCCCAGCCUUGGUUUCAUCUUGUGGGAAAAGGCUGCCUGUUUUUUUCUCGAUGGCCCGCUGGUAAUUCCAGAAUUCACUCUGACUGGACUGGCUUAAACCACCUGACCAGCCCUGAGCCAACCCCUAGGUCUGGGGUGACCUUCACGCUCUGACUGGUUUAGACCUGGGCGGCGGGAUCUGCAGCUGGGCUGAAAUGGAUCAGAGCGGGGGGUGUGGACUUCCAUCUGGAGCCGGGACAGGACCUCAGGAGGCAAAUGACGACCGUCUGUGACACGCAGGCCCACGUCUGUGCUAGAAAAGCCACCCCUUGAUAUGGGGCGAGGAUGGGACCCGAGAGACCCUCGCCCCACCCUGCACUGGCUCAGCAGCCGGGUCCAGACUCCCAGGCCUCUGGAAAACGAACCUCGGGGGGACGCAGAGGGUCACACAGGGCUUCACCCCCAGCUCGGGUUCAGUCCUGACUCAGAGACGACCCGGCCCCCACGACUGGACCCCACAACGCACAGGGCCCCCGCCGGCCAACAAGACCAAGGUCACGCACAGCGGUGCUGGGAUCCUCCAGAGGACUCCACAGGGGACCGAGGGCCUGCAGGGAUUCGAAAACCAGUGCCGGACGCAGCCUUCCUCCCUUACAGCAAGAGCUAGGAGAUAAAACAGGCAGGCCGGGAGAGCAGGGCCCGGGUCGCGCCUUCCUCACGGCUGGAAGCCUCCCAGGUGACGGGAGGAAUGAUGGGGACGGGGCGGGGUACUUGGAGACCUUCCUCUGUCAGAUGGCUCUGAUGUUUCCACUGUUGCUGUGAGCAGGAAAGGGUUAACUUGGCAGCUGGCUCCUCCACACCCUGAGCGCCCACAUCCGGCCCCUCCUUGCCCCGGAACCUCCUGCCGGAGAGGACAGCCCUGCUCACCUGGCCUUGGCAGCCCCAGCUGGUCUGUGCAAUGGUGGGAUUCACGGUGGGCACUUGGCCUCACGGCAUCAGCCUGACCUCUGGAGGGUGGAGACCAAGGUCAGCCAUGUCCACGAGACCAGCCCAGUGAGGACCAUGGUCACCGAGGCUCGGGGGCUCCUGGCUGGCCUCGCUUGGCACGUGUUGUCACACAUGGGUGCCGGAGAAUCAAGUCCAUGGGACCCCCCCCCAGGAGGGGACACCUGGGAGCUCGCACCUGGCCUCUCCUGGGCCCUGCCUGGGCAUCUCUUCCCUCUGCUGACUUUAACCCAUGUCCUCUGCUGUGAGAACCCACAGCAGGGAAAAGCAGCCUGUCUGGGCUCUGUCUGUCCUUCUAGCAAGUUGUGGACCGUCAAGGUGGUCUCGGGGGUCUUCCUGCCACACAGCUGCCUGGAGGCUCACAGCCAAGAACGGUGCUCACUCCAGCAGUGGGGCUAGCCCUGAGAGCAAACAGAUUUCACCCCCAAAUUCAGGACACACAGGAGCGUUCAAAAACCACACACACACGUGCACACAUGCACACACACGCAUGUACACACGCACACAUAUGCACACACGCACAUGCACGCACACCCACGCACAUGCACGCACACGCACGUAUACACACACACGCACACCCACGCAUGUGUGUGCACACGUGCACACACAGACUCCUGUGCACACAUGCACACAUGCGCACACACCCGCACACAUGCAGGUGCACACGCACACACCCACACCCACCCGCACACAACGCGCGCGCACGCACACACACACACACCGUGCACCCUCAGUGCACAGGCUGGCUAACACACACGAGCCGCUUUCCAAACCGAAGUCAUUCCAGCCCCAUGCCUGUAGCUGGCGCCACAUGAAAACACCACUGUGUUCUUAUUUAUGGAGCAUGUUUCUUUAAACUGGCCUAUUUUAAAACUAAAUGCAUUUUUUAUUUGAAAGGGAAUCUUCAUUUCACCGCUGCAAAUGGAAAGCUGGCAUCACUUGUGUUAAAUCAUGGUAACCAUGAAAAUAAGUAGAAUGAAAAUAAAAUAAUGUUGUCACACUCUGGAUGUGGCUGAGGUGUCCAAGCCUCCAUGCCCAGGCCUCAGCCCUGUUUGUCUAAAGGACUCGGGGAAACCCCCUCCAGGAGGAAUCAGAGCCUCGGGAGCUGGGCACGCCUCACUCGCACUGCCGUGCUGUCUAAGGAAGCUUCAUCACACCUAGAAUCAGUCCCCAGCACGCAUUUGUGGGAAGGGUGUGAAGUGGGCCCCACCUGGCUAGAACAGGGAGCUCCGGGUUCCUGCACCAACCUCCACGCAGCCCGGGGCGCUCCCUGCACCCCUGGACCCUGCGGGCCUGUCCAGCAUCUCGCCUCCCUCUGUCCACACAUGGGGAACCCCAGAGCAGGUGAGUGAACGCCCUGGGAACCACUGCCUGAGUCACAAGGAAUGGAAUGGGGCUGAGACACGCCUUUCCUCCUCCCCUCUCUUCCCUGCCAGCCUCCUGAUCCCCAUCUCAAAUGAGCUCCUGGCCCAAGAAUCCCGGUGUCAGGGUUCCCUGGCGGGUGGGGCAGGCUGACCACACCAGGAGCUGCAGAGGGGGCUGCCCUCCUGCCUGCCCUCCCUCAGGCAGCUCCAGGAGGAGGCAAGUGUGGCUGAGGCCACCUGCCACCACCCCACGGUGAAACGCGGCCCCACUGGGCAGCCCUGAGCGCCCGGCUUCUGCAGGACAAUGCCACCAGGGGCCCUCCCAGGGAGCAUCCUGUCGCGGGCUGGGCUCUGCGGACAGAGACGCAGGAGGGGCUGGCCAAGCCUGCCAGUCGCUCCCAGGCCCAGAGGCCAAGCUCAGCCAAACUUUAUCCGAGCAACAAUGCCAAUUAAUCUGGCGCUUGUCGCGGCUACUCCCUCAGGGCAGGUGUGAGGGUCAGCGACCAAGCUCCAUCCUGAGUGGCACUGAGGCAAAGCCGUGGCGGCCAGGGCCCGGCUCCUGAUUCACCCGCUCUUGCAGCCUGGGGGCGACAGGAUGGGAGGUGCGCAGGCCACGGAUGGAACGGGAAUGCCCUUCGCUUCAGACACAAGCGACACCCAGCUCAGCAGUGACUGAGGCCACAGCAGGUGGGACCAGGGCUGGCAGGGCCUGACACAGGGCGCCUCUGCUGCGUGAGCCAUGGUGCCUCAGCCCAGCUUCCGUGAUCCCCAGAUGCAGCUAUGGCAGGAGUGCCCCAAGCCUGGGGCUAGGCCCUGGGAAGGAUGCCCGCAGCCAAAAGUAGGGGAGGGGGAGAGACACAGAGAGAUAGAGAAAGACAGAGAGAGAUACAGAGAGAUUGAGAGAAGGAGAGAGGGAGAGACAGAGAGAGACAGGAGAGACAGAGGAGGAGAGACAGGGAAGACAGAGGAGGCAGGAGGGCCCCACAGGUGGGGGCUCCUGACUGCUCCACUUUCCCACAGCAGACCUUUGCGCGUUUCUCCCAGGAGCCCGCAGCUCGUGGGGGCAGUCCCCGGCCAGCACGGGGGAGCGCUCACUUUCCCGGCCAGCGUGGGGGGCGGUCACUUCCCCGGCGGGCGUGGGGGGCGGUCACUUCCCUGGCGGGCGUGGGGGCCGCUCACUUCCCCGGCCGGCGUGGGGGGCAGUCACUUCCCUGGCCAGUGUGGGGGGCGGUCACUUCCUCGGCGGGCGUCGGGGGAUGGGGGGCAGUCACUCACUCACUUUCUGGGCCGGUAGUCGGGGAUGCUCCGAUCGAGGGAGAUGCGGUCGCUGAGCUGAGCGUUGUAGCCGUACUCCUCAUACUUGCCUUCCGCCUCCUGGCCGUCAUCACGCAGGGUGGCCGCCAAGCCACCCUGGCCCAGGCCUCCUGGCCCCUCCACCAGGCCGAUGGGCUUGGCAAGGCCUGGGGGAAAGGAAGAGAGGGAGGUCAGGCAGGCCCAGGACACGCUGCGUCUGCACCCAGGAGACGCCCCUCCCGCCCCUCUCCCCGACGGCCGCUUCCCCCGGUACAAGCCCAGCAAACUCCCUGCAGAUGGCAGGCUGCCAGCUCAGGACAUUCCAGAAAGUGCAAGGCUGUGCGCGGAGUGAGAGGGCGGUGCCAGGCGGAAGAGGGAGGGAUGAAUGGGUGGUACAUGAGGCGUUGA